GUGGCUGUAGCUCAGUUGGCAUACCUCAGGAUUGUGGUUCCUGAGGUAUGGGUUCGAGCUCCCAUCAGCCUCC
rnacentral:tRNA from 1 species